UACGGAGGGGACUAGCGUUGUUCGGAAUUACUGGGCGUAAAGCGCACGUAGGCGGAUUUGUAAGUCAGGGGUGAAAUCCCGGGGCUCAACCUCGGAACUGCCUUUGAUACUGCAAAUCUCGAGUCCGGAAGAGGUGAGUGGAAUUCCUAGUGUAGAGGUGAAAUUCGUAGAUAUUAGGAAGAACACCAGUGGCGAAGGCGGCUCACUGGUCCGGUACUGACGCUGAGGUAGCGAA
rnacentral:rRNA from 1 species